rnacentral:lncRNA from 1 species
GGGAGGAAGGCUUGCGGGCGUGCGGACUCGGCUUCGGGCCGAGAGCUUUGAAGAAUUUUGCAGAACCCUGCUACCUACAGACUCUGCCAUGGACAUCAUGUAAAGAAACCCCGGAUGUAGUAGCGGACAAAACAUGAGUCAGUUUGUGUUGUGGCAUUCAGAUCCUAACACACUGGGAGAGAUUGUGGAAGACUCGAGGAACUUACGGAGUACAUUUGUUUUUCUGUCCACUUGGGCUCCAGAAGUGAUUCUGAAUGGAGAAGACGUAGGACCGGUCAGUGGUAGGAUGGACUGUGCUUGGAAGACAGGCACCCGGAGCUCUCAGUUUGGACUAGGCUGGCUGGCCAGCAAGCCCCCAGGAUCCUCCUGUUCGCGCUCUUGAAGCAUCAAGUCCCAAGAUUGUGAAGACCACGGCCCAUCCUUAUGCAUUCAGGAGUUGAGUGUGGAUGACUUCGAGCUGAAAAGCCUCUUCAGAAGCUUCAUGUGUCGCGUGCAUUGAAGCUCUGCAUUAAACCCGCUCACACAAGUAAAUGCUCAAAGGGACGGAAGGCCAUUAAUACAGUUUUUAUGUCUCUUUCUUCUACUUCAGUUUCUUUAGCCAUCAGGGUCCUUAAUGUUUCUUAUCUUACUGUAGUAAAGAAUCAGAGAAAGACUGCUUUCCAUGAAGGGUUAUGUUUUGUGGCCACACGGCUUUAUUAGUGGACAUGGGCAUUUUCACUUGAGUCUUUUGUUACAGCCUAUUAAAAAUUUUAUUCAGUAAUGUGAAAGUGAGGAUUAAAUAUCAAAAAAUUACAAUAUUAGAGAAGUAUGUGUUUAACAUGUGCAAAGCCCCAGGUCCAGUCUGCUACAUUUUGUGGGGUGGUUAGGGGGGUGUAGAUGUGCAAAGCCCCAGGUCCAGUCUGCUGCAUUUUGUGGGGUGGUUAGGGUGUGUGUGAUGUGGUAGAAGUGACUCAGAAGCUGAGGUCUUAAGUGUUAGCAGUUGUAUGUGUUAAUGGCUCUCAGCCUACCACUGCCUCUUACUAGCUAUGUGACUGGGAAAGUCAGGUCUUCUGAGUCUUCGUUGAGCUGACCAACAGCUGUUUAAAUGAAAGAAUGUAGGGUUAUUCACAGUGUGUCUACAUAGUAAGAGUAACAUUGUUUCCAUUUUUAAAUGUAACAGUGUGAGCAGUUGGUAAUUAAGUCAAAGUUUUCUUUUUCUUGUGUGUUGCUGUCACAAUUUUCAAAGUAUAAUUUUAGCUCUAGUGCAUUUCUGCCCAUUUUAAUCCCUGGAGAUUCAUCAUUUCAUUCCCUUCAUACCUGUGAGGAAGGAGUUAGUAUUAAUAUCAAUGACAUCUGGUUUAAUUGAAAUAUUUUGUGUUUCAUAAAAAGAUAGAAAGCCAAGUAGCCUAUGCUACUGUUUAUCCUGGUACUUAGAACACCUAACAAUUGUUCUACUUCAACUUAUUAGAAAAAUUAUGCUAAAUGUUUUAUUUAGGUAUUUUAUUUUGAUGUGUGUAACUGUGUGUGUGUGUAUGGAUGUAUGUAUAAGAGAGUGAGUGUGUGAAUGAGCCUGUGUAUGAGUGAGCGUGCUUGAGUAUGUGUGUGAGCAUAUGUGAGUGUGUUAGCAGUCAAGUGUAUGGGAUAGAAUGAGUGUGUGUGAGUGUGUUUAUGUAAGCCUGUCCAAGUGUGUGUGUGUGUGAUUACUCCUCAUGUACCAUCUGUCUUUUUUGUUUGUUUGUUUGACAUAGAGUCUCUCAUUGGUCUGGAACUGGCCAGUGGCCAAGUAGACCAGGCUGGCUGGCCAGUGAGCCUCAGAGAUCUGCCUGUUUCUACCUCCCCAGCUCUGAGAUUAUAAACCCACACCUAGAUGUCAGAUUCUCAUUCUUGCAAAACACUUUACUGACUAAGCUAGCUUUUUAGCUCCCUGUGUGUUUCUGUUUUGUUUUGUCUUUCAAGACUUAGGAGUUUGGUCUUCUCUAAAGGAGAAAAUGCCAGUUUUCCCCCUUCUCUUAGUAACUGAGUUUAUCUUUAGGUUAAUGAUUUAAGGUGAAUGUCACUGUAAUUUGCUUGUUCAGUUGUUUCUUUGAGGACAUCAUUGGUUGCCAGUAGGUGACGCUAUAGUACUCCUAAGUAAGGAGUGCUUUCUUCCAGAAGGUAUACAUUCUGAUUCAUGGUGAGGGAAUGUUUUUUAUCUUAGUGUGUGUAUAUAUAUAUAUAUGUGUGUGUGUUGUAUGCGUGCUGGUGCACUUCGAGACCCAGCUUUAUGUGGGUGUUGGGAAUCUGAACUCAGGUCUUUGCGCUUAUAUAGCAAUCACUGUACUGACCCAUCUCUGCACCCUGUUUCUUUACUGCACUGAAAUGCUUUACUUGGUGCCUUGGAACUGUUUAAAUUUAACAGAAGGUUAUACAAAGUGUUGAUUUUUCUUCUUAUACAAAUUACAUAAAUGCAUAUAAUCCCAGUGAUGUAAAUAUUUGUCAAGAAAUGCAAAAUGUGGACAGAAGCUACGUGUCGCCUAAUCAUGACCAAGCUUCUUGCGUUGGUGGAGACAGAACAAAUUGCAUAGACUUUGAGAAUUGAGCCUGUCAGAAACAAGACAGUUGGCCUCUGAUGGAGAAGCAUUUUACUGCCGGUGACUGACCUUUUCUUCGUCCUUGACCCCUCCCCUGAACCCAGAACUCCUCACAUUGACCUUUAUGACUUUGCCUGUAGAAAUACUAGCAACCUGUGAAAAAGGCCAAGAGACACUAAUUGGAUAUCUGGCUGUCCUUGGUCUGCAUGCCCUACCCUUAUGAAUCUAGUAUCUGCCACUGGCCUUCCUUUUCUACCUUCUAAAUACCUUUAAACUCCCUCUUUCAGGUCUACCCUGUACCUUACUCUGUUGUUGGAUUUCUUGAGCCUCUGUAAAAGCCCCUCCAUGGGUUCUCUAUAUUUUCUCUUCCCUCCCUUCUCUCAUCUCGCUGCAUUCAGGGGAAUCUUCUUUUUGGUCCUCUGGUUUAAGUUCUUGAUGUUUUAUUGCCUCAGUCCAUUAAGCAGCAGCAGCAGUGUUCCCCUAUUCCACUUUGUCCCCUUGUGUCUCUGAUGGUUUUAAUGGGAAGGGACCCUCAUAGGCACUGUUUAGGACAUGUAGUCUUGCUGGAGGAAGUGUGUCACUGGGGGAAGCACUUGAGAGCUUAGGGCUCCGUCCUGCUUCUGGUUUGCUCUCAGCUUGGACUGUGGUUGAGAUGAGAGAUGCUAGCUUCUUUUUUCCUGCCUCUGCUGCCAUGCCCUUCCGUAAUGGACUCAGCCCUUUGGAAAUGUAAGCUCAAAUAAACUCUUUCUUGUUU